AUACGGAGGGUGCAAGCGUUACUCGGAAUCACUGGGCGUAAGGCGCGCGCAGGCGGGCUGAUAAGUUGGAUGUGAAAGCCUACGGCUCAACCGUAGAACUGCAUCCAAAACUGUCAGUCUAGAGUCUGGGAGGGGAAGAUGGAAUUAGUUGUGUAGGGGUAAAAUCCGUAGAGAUAACUAGGAAUACCAAAAGCGAAGGCGAUCUUCUGGAACAGUACUGACGCUGAGGCGCGAAAGCGUGGGGAGCAAACAGGAUUAGAUACCCUAGUAGUCC
rnacentral:rRNA from 1 species